rnacentral:lncRNA from 11 species
CUCCAAGCGAACCAGACCUAGCUAGCUCCCUAAGCCGCUCCUCAUAGGGCUUGCAGGGGAAACGGGAAGGACCAGGGAGGGAAGGGAAAGGAAGAGAAGCAGCAAGGUUCCUGCAUCGGUGCAUUUCAAAGCCUGCAUUUCAAAGGCUGCAGCUACCUUGCCCCCUCCCCCCAAUAUAAAGCAACAGCAACCUUGGUUAAUCAUCGAUUGCCGAUCCAAAUGUGCUAGGAGUUUCGGGGGCUGAGAAUUGGGGUCUUCCAUUUCCUAACUCUUUUCGUUUGGUCUCUCUCACUCACACACACACACACACUCUGGCUGCCUCUGUCUCUCUGCUUUUGUCGGGGGCUGCUUAGACCGUUUUGGGAAGUGUUGAGCCUGCACCGGGGACGGACCGACUUCCUCACCGGUGUGGACUGGACUGACACACUUCUCAUUCCACGCCAAGGGAACUCUCUCCCGUGGGAAAGCCGGCGGAGAAGCCCUGCUCCUGGCAAUUUGUGUCUUCUGAGAAGUGGCUCCAAAAGACCAGGAAACCUUUCUGGACCACUUCAAAAGUGAUGGAUGGAGAGUUUCCUUCAGCAAAAAAAGACAAAACAAAGCAAUUUGGUUACUGGUUUCUUUUUAAAAAGUACAAUUAUUUCAUUAGGUCUUCUGACAAAUAAUAAGUAGCUAAUAAAAUAACUGUUCUGCUUCCAAUGAAGUUUUUUUUCUCUUUCUCUCAAGGUGUUUGGAAAAUUGUGGAACAACACUGAUCUAAAAUUAAUCCUGUGGACAUGUAGCAUUUUCCCACAUUGUUAUAUUUUUUAAAAAAAUGUGUCUGUUAGGGGGAAAGCAUACUGAAAUGUCUGAAUUGUCAUAUAUUUUUGGUAACUAAUGAAAUUAAGGCUGGAAAAGACGGUGAAAUCAAGAUUGACAGAUGUGUAUUUAACAAUGAUAUAUUUUUAAUACCCAAUUUUUAAUACUUCACCAUAAGAUUUAAGUGUAGCACAUUUUUCUUUUACUUAAUCAAGAAUAAAUUUUGUUUUAGUUAUGCAUAAAAUAUGCAAUCAAACAUUCUUCCAUCAUACUCUACAAUAUAUGAUAGCAAUUAUAAACAUAAGACUGCAUAUUGUUGUAUAUGUUACCAUUUGAAUAUAUAAUAAACACAUUCCAUUUUUGAAUAAACACUAUUGACCUGCUUACCCUCUC